AGAGAGGUUCCAGCAGGGCAAGGAGCUAGGCCGUGUGACAUGGUUCUCUUAGCAGAAGCCCUGGAAUCUUGCAGAAAAUGUGACCUUCCAUCCUGCACAUGGAUGUCCUGGAGACCCUCCCAUCUCUUUCCUGCCAGAUGGUGACAGUCUUGUGGGGGAAGCGUGGUUUACUCCCAACCUUGGGUCCAGUCUAGAGCCAGGCUAGAAGGAACCAGAACUUCCAGUUUAGCUAGGUUUAGACUCACUUUGUUUUCUCGGUUAGUUUUAUUUAACAAGUUAUUCUUUUGGAGUGCAUACCCAAGUCUUACCUGCCCAGCUUUGGGGUUCCCUGCAAAACAUCUUGGGGUCUUCCCAAUGAUGUUGGCAUGGUACCUGGCUGAGUGUCUGGGGUCUAUGGAAGAGCCAUGUAUGCUCUGUGCUGGGCUUAAGGAAGGGAGGGGCAUGAGCUCACAGCGCAUGCUAGAGGGGCCAGGAAAUAAGGGAGGACUCUUGCUGCUGGGCUGGGUGGGAGGCAUUCGCCAGGAAUUCUGGGAGCUGCUUUUCCAUCUAGGCAGAGAUGUACCAGGGUGCUCACACUGCCAGAGGAGAAGCAGCAUCCACAGGGAAUCUGGGUAGCUCGUAAGUCGACUGGGACUGGACAAUGAUUUUUUUCUGCCUCCUGCCCCUAUAUUAUCAGUGUGAUGGUCUUAAUGAGGAAUGUCACCAGAAGCCAUGUAUUUGAAUACCUUGUCUUGGGCUGGUGCUGUUAUUUUGGGGAAGUCUGGAACUUUCAAGACAUAGAGUCUUGAUUGAGGAAGUAGAUAACUGGAGGCGAGAGUUUAUAACCUCAACUGACUUCCAGUUUACUCCUCCUGCUUCUUGUCUGCGGUUGAAGAUCUCCUAGCUUUCCGCCCUGGCAACCUGCUGCCAUUCUUCCCUGCCAUGAGGUACUCUUGUCCCCCUGUGACCAUACACCAAACAGACAUUUUUGUCUGUAAGACACUUUGGGAGACAGUAGUUUAUCCAAGCAACAAUAAAAUAAUGAAUGCA
rnacentral:lncRNA from 1 species